rnacentral:rRNA from 1 species
GACGAACGCUGGCGGCGUGCUUAACACAUGCAAGUCGAACGGAAAGGCCUCUUUCGGGGGGUACUCGAGUGGCGAACGGGUGAGUAACACGUGAGUAACCUGCCCUUGACUUUGGGAUAACUUCAGGAAACUGGGGCUAAUACCGGAUAGGAGCUCCUGCUGCAUGGUGGGGGUUGGAAAGUUUCGGCGGUUGGGGAUGGACUCGCGGCUUAUCAGCUUGUUAGUGGGGUAGUGGCUUACCAAGGCUUUGACGGGUAGCCGGCCUGAGAGGGUGACCGGCGACAUUGGGACUGAGAUACGGCCCAGACUCCUACGGGAGGCAGCAGUGGGGAAUAUUGCACAAUGGGUGGAAGCCUGAUGCAGCAACGCCGUGUGCGGGAUGACGGCCUUCGGGUUGUAAACCGCUUUCGCUCAUGACGAAGCUUUGUGUGACGGUAGUGGGUAAAGAAGCACCGGCUAACUACGUG